rnacentral:rRNA from 1 species
GCCCUUCGGGGUGAGUAAAGUGGCGAACGGGUGCGUAACACGUGGGUAAUCUACCCCUCGCAGGGGGACAACCGGGGGAAACUCCGGCUAAUACCCCGUACGCUAUGGAGACCGCAUGGUCUCUAUAGGAAAGGUAGCUUCGGCCAUCCGGCGAGGGAUGAGCCCGCGGUACAUUAGCUAGUUGGUGAGGUAAUGGCUCACCAAGGCUACGAUGUAUAGCUGGUCUGAGAGGAUGAUCAGCCACACUGGGACUGAGACACGGCCCAGACUCCUACGGGAGGCAGCAGUCGGGAAUCUUGCACAAUGGGCGAAAGCCUGAUGCAGCAACACCGUGUGAGCGACGAAGGUCUUCGGAUCGUAAAGCUCUGUUGUUAGGGACGAAGGGCGAAGGGUUAAUAGCCCCCAGCCUGACGGUACCUUUCGAGGAAGCCCCGGCUAACUACGUGCCAGCAGCCGCGGUAAUACGUAGGGGGCGAGCGUUGUCCGGAAUUAUUGGGCG